CAGAGCUGUGAGGAGACUGCAGAGGCUGUACAACAUGGGGCCUGACUAUAGACAUCCCAUGCCCCUGUUAGCCCACUGACGUCCCGUGCUUGUGCCCAUUGGAAAGCAACGCGGAGGAGUGGAGCAGCGAACAGGACAUGCGCUGGCCAGCAUGGAGUCCAAAUUCAGGAAGUGUGGGUGGACAGGUAGGACUCUGUACACUGAGGACAAGCAGGGCUCUGUGCACUGAGGACAAGCAGGGCUCUG